rnacentral:tRNA from 1 species
ACCAGAAUGGCCGAGUGGUUAAGGUGUUGGACUUAAGAUCCAACGGAUAUAUGUCUGUGUGGGUGUGAACCCCACUCCUGGUA